GUCUUUGCCUUUUCUAGGACCACUCCCAUGGCAUAUGGAGGUUCCCAGGCUAGUGGUCGAAUCAGAGCUGUAGCCGCUGGCCUACGCCAGAGCCACAGCAACGUGGGAUCCGAGCCACGUCUGCGACCUAGACCACAGCUCACAGCAACGCCGAAUCCUUAACCCACUGAGCAAGGCCAGGAAUCAAACCCGCAACCUCAUGGUUCCUAGUCGGAUUCAUUAACCACUGUGCCACCAAGGGAACUCCAGUUUCAACACUUGCGAUGGCUCUCUUCCCUCUGGCUGCCAGCAGGCAGGUGGUUGGGGGGUGGGGUUAGCAGUGGCUGAUAGAUUAGCAUUUUCUUUUCACAGGGGCCUAGAGAACAGGGGAGGAAUUUGGAGAGGCUACAAAGAUAACUCAGGGCUGCUUUGAACAUCUGAACCAAAAGCACUUCUGAAGCCAAGAGGCCGGGCAGCAAUAUCGAUCCAUAAGUUCAUCAGAGCUGGAGCCUCAGACGCAGGAGGUACCGAGGGACCCAGGAUCUGAACUCCUCUGCAGAGGUCGUCAGAGAUCUCCCAGCCUACCCUUGCUGGGGACCAGACACAAAAAUCCCUCCCAAGAUAAAGAAUCAGCCUUCCGAGUCCUGAGUGGGCCCUGGUGUAGUCAGUAACAUCCAUGGGGUCAAUUCCAGGAAUAUCCCGCUUGUUCCCCAGACUGUCGGACCAUAGCCAGAGCUGCAUCGACAGAAAUCGCCCAGAGUGGGUGCCAGCUUGUACCCUUCCUUCUCACCAAGGUCCUCCCCAAGUUAGAGGGCUCGGAGCCGACACAACCACACCCUGCCAACAGCCUCACCCCUCCCCCUCUGGGUGUGAUACCCUGGGAACCUCGGGCUCCCAGGCUGUGGGAAAGAUGGGACUUGUUCACAGGCUCCUGCCGGAGAAACUGCACAGCACAGGGGUGUGCCUCCUGAAACCACUGCUCCACGUGGCCAAGAGGUCUCUCAAAAGCAGUGCCAUCCACGAAUGCAUACAGCAUGUGGGGCAUCUGCACACCCAGUCUCUAGCUCCCGCCAAGUGGCUGUCUGCUUUGGGAACAUCUGUGUAUCUCUAAGGAGGCAAGGUGACAAGUACCUGCCACAGAGCUAGCACCGUCAACAGAGGCCAAAGCCAUCUCUCCAAGCUCAUGCACAGAGUCAGGGGAGACGGGGACCGAACAUAGAAUGACUUGACACUGGGUCAGAGGGACCCCAAGUGCCCGAGGCUGGGGGGAGCGAGAGGUGAUAGCUCUGCAGCCUUUUGUCCUCACUGUCAGUCAGAGCCUUGGACCCACUGUCAAAGCCAGAAGCCCUCUUCCAGCAUCUGCAGAAACGCUGAAGCGUCACUUUUCCUGAGAACACAGGAAGAGAAGAAGGGUCCCCUUUAUGGUGUAGUCACACUACCCCCUGCUGGAGAGAGGGCAGCAUGACAACGCGACCUGCCCCGGCCCGCACUUGCAGACGUUUGUGAAGCGUCUAUGGCAGGCAAGGCACCAGGUAUACAGUAAGCACUCAAUACACAUUCAUCGUUGUUACCGCGGUUGUUUAGUCGCUGUCACUGUUGCCCGUGUUGUCAUCCAGUGAGCACCACGGAGGGCAGUGGGGGCCGAGAGAGGGAAGAAAGUGUCCACAAUGGACCUCAGAUGAGUGGGACUUAGAAAGGCGGAAAGGGGACCAGGAGCCAGAGCAGAGCCGGGCCAGAUCAGCAGAGGCCACAGGACGUGCUCCUCUUUCUGACUCUGCCCGGGGCUGUCAACCACCAGAAAGAGAGCUUCUGCACAUGGGAGCCCCAUGGGCAGGGCCCUUCCUCAAGGGUGAGGGGAAGAAGCCACCCACGUUUGCAAAACACCGUCGCGGCAACUGCACGUCCCACUCCUACAGACAACCUGGCCCCGACCAGCCCGAACGGGCACCAGUGCGGGCCGCCCAGCCCCUCCACCGCUUCCACCGGCUUACCCUCCACAAACUCGGCUGUUCCCCGCCCUACCAACAUGUGCUGAACUGAUCCAGCUUAAUUUCAGCUGUAGCAGACCAAAACCUGGAGUGAGCUAACACGACCUUGCUGUUUUCACCAGGGUAAGAAAAUGCCAAGAUAAGUAAUUGGCAGAGUUAAUCAUUUAACAACGCAAUAGACCUUGUAAUUAAAAAUAAGCUGAAGGAGGCCACAAAGUGAUACAGUAAUGUUUCAAGGGCCAAUUAUGGAAAAGCCCCCUCUCAUUGUGCUGGCAGAGCAAGAAGGGAGGAAGCAAACCCAUUAUGGCUCAGAGCAGUUCAUGCAUCCUGAAAACCCAGUGCUCGAAGUCUGGGCUGUCAGAAAGCUUUAGAUUCAUGUGGCCAAUACUGGCUCACAGCUUCAUGUAUUUUCCCUAUUUAUUGAUGGAUCUAUUUGUUGCUUUCUUUUUUGUUUUUGUUUUGCUUGCAUCAGAAACUGAAUUCCCCCUUCUCUCCCUGCCCUGACCCUCCUCCUCCCCUUCUGGUACGUUCCUAGAGAGUCCAAAGCACCAUUUCUAAUCUUAGGUCCCACAGCUCCUAUUGUGGCUCAGCAGGUUACGAACCUGACUAGUAUCCAUGAAGAUGCAGGUUCAAUCCCUGGCUUUGCUCAGUGGGUUAAGGAUCCAGCAUUGCCCUGAGCUGUGGUGUAGGUCACAGAUGCAGCUUAGAUCCUGCAUUGCUGUGGCUGUGGUGUAGGCCAGCAUCUGUAGCUCCGAUUUGACCCCUCGCCUGGGAACUUCUAUAUUCCAUGGGUGUGGUCCUAAAAAAAAAAAAAAAACUCCUAGGUUGCUUUACUUCUUGGGUCCCUUUUCUUGGCUGACCCUCGCACCUACUCCCCUGAGAAGGGAAGGGGGCCUUACCACCGUCCCAGGAUAUGGCAGCUGUGACCUCUGUCGCCCCCUAGCGGUGAUGCUGACCAGCUUCCCUCUGCUCCUCAGGGCAGGCUCCUGAGUCAACUUCAUUCCAACCACCGACACAGCACAUCACAGAGUCCACAGAUUUCUACCCAGAGAACCUCUCCGAAGCUGUUUUCUCCGGGCCUAAUUAUUUUCUUUUAUUUUUAAAUCAAUAUGUUUCCAUCGCAAUGAAUUCUGACCAUGGUCUCAUAGACUUUUUCUCCCUCACAAAAAAAAUUCUGUGUUUCCUCAAAAGUCUAAGCCUGCCCGUGGAGGGAUGCUGCGUAUGUGAACAGCAGCAUCCUGCCCAUGACAGUGGACAAAAGGGAAAAACAGCUGGGCAACCCAGUGGGAGGGGCAGAGGGAGAGAGGAUGGGGGAGCCCCGACAAGGAACGAAGGACUGGAAGCUUUAUUUACCAGUGUGGCCAAAAGAACCUCAAAACGACACCCAGCAGGUAAGAUGACCCUGCCUGGGGAGUUCCCUUGUGGUCUGGUGGUUGGGACACAGCCCUUUCACGGCUGGGGACCAGGUUCACUCUGGGCUCUGGAAACUGAGAUUGCACAUCAAUCUGCUACUGCAUGCCACCAAAAAAAGAUGCCUGGAGUUCCUGUCGUGGCUCAGUGGUUAAUGAAUCCAACUAGGAACCAUGAGGUUGCGGGUUCGAUCCCUGGCCUUGCUCAGUGGGUGAAGGAUCCGGCAUUGCCGUGGGCUCUGGUGUAGGUCACAGACUCGGCUUGGAUCCCGCGUUGCUGUGGCUCUGGCGUAGGCCGGUGGCUACAGCUCCGAUUCAACCCCUAGCCUGGGAACCUCCAUAUGCCACGGGAGCAGCCCUCAAAAAGGCAAAAAGAAAAAAAAAACAACUGUCUGCCCGCCUUCCUUUGUGCUAAGACUCCAGGCCCAUAAGACAGAAGGCUCCUAAGAACAUGAUCAAGGAAAGAAGUCAGAGAUGCAGAGCGGUAUUUGGGGUUUUAUUGGGGUUUUGGGGUGUUGCUUUUUUUUUUUUUGCUUUUUAGGGUUGUACCCGCGGCAUAUGGAGGUUCCCAGGCCAGGGGGCAAAUCGGAGCUAGCGGCCUACACCACAGCCACAGCAAUGCAGGAUCAGAGCUGCAUCUAUGACCUACCACAGCUCACAGCAACGCCGGAUCCCUAACCCACUGAGCAAACCCACAUCCUCAUAGAUACUAGUUGGAUUCAUUUCUGCGGAGCCACAAGGGGAACUCCCCAAACAAGUAUUUGUAAAACUAACAAACUAACAAAAAGGAAACCCAGAAAUCAUCUUUGGAAACAGGCAAUCUCUAGAGUCCUAGAACCAGAAGACCCCUCUGAAGACCCUUCAGAGACCUUCCUUUAACAGAAACUGGAUUGGUGAAAACACCAAGACUCUAUUUGAGGCUUGUGAAUUCAUUUACCCAAGGAACACACAGACCCACAGAAGUCCAUGCUGGCCAGCAGUCUCCCUGCUCCAGAGUGAAAUGUGCAGCACCUAGAAUAGAAAUUUCCCUUUUCUACUGACGAGAAGCCCGCUACAGAUUAAGGAUGCCAGGAGGGCAAGAACAGAGGGUCGAAUCCCAGGAGUAUCCCAGGGAUGGAGACCAAAGUCCAUACCUAAUCCGAUGUGUGGGGCGGGGCACCUCAAGCUCAACCAUCUCUGUCUAAGAGAAAAGAGAAAGAAGAGGGAAAUCAGGAGUUAGCAGUCCUCAAGAAAAGCCAGAGCCCAUUCAUGCCUUCAACUGCGGAAACACAACCGGCUAUGGGCUCUUGAGAGAGCCUGUGUUGGGUGGGUUAGACAAGGCCCAAGGUCCCCCGCAAGGCAGUGCCUCAGCCUCUAAAACAAAAUCUCUGUAUUUCCUUUCCAGAAAAUAAAUUCAAUGUACACGUUCUUUUAUUCAAAUAGAAGUAUGGAAAAGAUGGGUUCAUUUCAAUUUGUUCCUCGAUUUUCUUUGGAACCAAGAUUUGACCCCGUCCUUAUCCCUGAUGAAUCUUCCCCUCACCCUGUAUCCCCAGAACCCCAGGGUCUGGCUCAGUGCAGGCAGACAUCAAAAGUCUAGUGAAUGAAUGAGCUGCCUGUGGGCUCCUAGAACAGUGUGAGAUGCCAAGCUUUAUAUUCCUGUAUAGGCAUAGCAUGUCUCAGAAUAACUCCUCUGUUUUAGUGUUGGACUUGGCUGUGCCUCCUUCCUAAUGGGCUGAAAAACAGCCCUUGUGUGUCCGCCUCUGCUGGAACAUGGUUUACUACAUGGCAUGCUGCCUGCAGCCCCAAGGCCUGGAAAGCGAUCCAUAUUCUAAUGACUUACAGCAGCAAAGAAACCAGAUAGAUCUUUGAAGGUGCUGUGCUCCCCUCCACCCUCAACCAGGCAACAGGGCAACCUUAACUUCCUUGCUGCAAAAGAGCAGGCUACUAGAGGCAGAACUGAGUUUUUAAGGUGAAUUGAACACACUCGUUAUCUGUGGGCAACAAGAAGGUGAAUGACUUCCAAGAUCCAAGAGACUCUUGCCAUCAGUGCUCACACAGCCCAAGGCCCUCUUCUGGAAGUACAUUAAGGAUGGAGGAAGAAGACAUCGCAUCUCUGCUCUUGUAGAGGCUAGUGAGUGAGUGUCCUCUUGCACAGAGAGACCUGACAAAGGCAGGGAUCAGAGAGAGUGGCUCGCUCUGCCUGACAUCUGUCUCAACAUCUUUGCCAACACAUAACCCAUUUCAUGCAGAAAGAGAGAAACUGCCGCCUCUAACAAUGAUGCGG
rnacentral:lncRNA from 1 species